UACCAGCACCCCGAGUGGUCGGGACGAUUAUUGGGCCUAAAGCAUCCGUAGCCGGCCUUACAAGUCCUCCGUUAAAUCCAGCUGCUCAACAGUUGGGCUGCGGAGGAUACUACAGCGCUAGGAGGCGGGAGAGGCAAGCGGUACUCAUUGGGUAGGGGUAAAAUCCACUGAUCCAUUGAAGACCACCAGUGGCGAAGGCGGCUUGCCAGAACGCGCUCGACGGUGAGGGAUGAAAGCUGGGGGAGCAAACCGG
rnacentral:rRNA from 1 species